GAUGAACGCUGGCGGCGUGCCUAAUACAUGCAAGUCGAGCGAACAGACGAGGAGCUUGCUCCUCUGACGUUAGCGGCGGACGGGUGAGUAACACGUGGAUAACCUACCUAUAAGACUGGGAUAACUUCGGGAAACCGGAGCUAAUACCGGAUAAUAUAUUGAACCGCAUGGUUCAAUAGUGAAAGACGGUUUUGCUGUCACUUAUAGAUGGAUCCGCGCCGCAUUAGCUAGUUGGUAAGGUAACGGCUUACCAAGGCAACGAUGCGUAGCCGACCUGAGAGGGUAAUCGGCCACACUGGAACUGAGACACGGUCCAGACUCCUACGGGAGGCAGCAGUAGGGAAUCUUCCGCAAUGGGCGAAAGCUUGACGGAGCAACGCCGCGUGAGUGAUGAAGGUCUUCGGAUCGUAAAACUCUGUUAUUAGGGAAGAACAAAUGUGUAAGUAACUAUGCACGUCUUGACGGUACCUAAUCAGAAAGCCACGGCUAACUACGUG
rnacentral:rRNA from 1 species